AGAACGAACGUUGGCGGCGUGGAUUAGGCAUGCAAGUCGAAUGAAUCCCACUUGGGUAACUGGGUGGGGGAAAUGGCGAAAGGGGCAGUAAGGCAUGGGCAACCUACCCCGGGGACGGGGAUAGCUCUUCUAACGAGGAGAUAAUACCUGGCGAUUCAGCGGGAAGGCAUCUUUCUGCUGGGAAACGAGUUUCGCCUCGGGAGGGGCUCAUGUAGUAUUAGCUAGUUGGUAAGGUAACGGCUUACCAAGGCAAAGAUGCUUAGCGGGUGUGAGAGCACGACCCGCGCCACUGGCACUGAGACACUGGCCAGACUCCUACGGGAGGCUGCAGUCGAGGAUCUUCGGCAAUGGGCGCAAGCCUGACCGAGCGACGCCGCGUGUGCGAAGAGGCCUUCGGGUUGUAAAGCACUGUCGAGAGGAAGAAAGACCGUAAGGUUUGAUCGACCUCGUGGAGGAAGCACGGGCUAAGUUCGUGCCAGCAGCCGCGGU
rnacentral:rRNA from 1 species